AUUGAACGCUGGCGGCAGGCCUAACACAUGCAAGUCGAACGAGUGGCGGACGGGUGAGUAAUGUCUGGGAAACUGCCUGAUGGAGGGGGAUAACUACUGGAAACGGUAGCUAAUACCGCAUACCAUCGGAUGUGCCCAGAUGGGAUUAGCUAGUAGGUGGGUUAAAGGCUCACCUAGGCGACGAUCCCUGGCGGGUCUGAGAGGAUGACCGGCCAAACGGGAAUGGGGAAACGGCCCAGACUCCUACGGGAGGAGCAGUUGGGGAAUAUUGGACAUGGGGGGAAGUCCUGAUGCAGCCAUGCGGCGUGGAGGAGGCAGGCCUUGGGGUGGUAAGGUACUUUCAGCGGGGAGGCGGUACCGGAAGAAAAAGCAACGGCUAACUACGUGCCAGCAGCCGCGGUAAUUC
rnacentral:rRNA from 1 species